CCCGGUGGUAAUGGCGGAGGGGUCACACCUGUUCCCAUCCCGAACACAGUAGUUAAGCCCUCCAGCGCCGAUGGUACUGCAGUUUUUCUGUGGGAGAGUAGGACACUGCCGGGA
rnacentral:rRNA from 1 species